AAUAUUGGACAAUGGGCGAAAGCCUGAUCCAGCCAUGCGCCGUGUGGGAAAAAGGUCUUCGGAUGUUAAAGCCCUUUAAGAGGGGAGGAAGGGUUAUAGAUUAUUACUCUGCACUAUUGACGUUACCAACAGAAAAAGCACCGCCUACCUUCUUGCCAGCAGCCGCGGUAAUACGAAGGGUGCAAGCGUAAAUCGGAAUUACUGGGCGUAAAGCGCGCGUAGGUGGUUCAGUAAGAUGGGUGUGAAAUCCCCGGGCUUAACCUGGGAACUGCUUUCAUAACUGCUGGGCUAGAGUACGGUAGAGGGUAGUGGAAUUUCCUGUGUAGCGGUGAAAUGCGUAGAUAUAGGAAGGAACACCAGUGGCGAAGGCGACCACCUGGGCUAAUACUGACACUGAGGUGCGAAAGCGUGGGGAGCAAAC
rnacentral:rRNA from 1 species